UCCAGUUUGUCACCGGCAGUCUCCCAUGAGUCCCCAACUGAAUGCUGGCAACAUGGAACGGGGGUUGCGCUCGUUGCGGGACUUAACCCAACAUCUCACGACACGAGCUGACGACAGCCAUGCAGCACCUGUGUCCACUUUCCCUUUCGGGCACCUAAUGCAUCUCUGCUUCGUUAAUGGCAUGUCAAGGGUAGGUAAGGUUUUUCGCGUUGCAUCGAAUUAAUCCACAUCAUCCACCGCUUGUGCGGGUCCCCGUCAAUUCCUUUGAGUUUUAAUCUUGCGACCGUACUCCCCAGGCGGCGCGUUUAUCGCGUUAGCUUCGCCACGGAAGGGGUCGAUUCCUCCCACAGCAAACGCGCACCGUUUAGGGCUAGGACUAC
rnacentral:misc_RNA from 1 species